UGGGUUGUGGCUCAGUGGUAGAGCUCUCGCCUAGCUCAUGCGGGGUGCUGGGUUCGAUCUUCAGCAACACAU
rnacentral:tRNA from 1 species